AUCAUUUUGUUUAAAAUCCUUUUCCUCUUUACAGACCAAAGCCAGCAAAGCAAACGAAAGCCAAAAACCAAAACUAGUGACCAUGAAAAAAUGAGGGAUCAUGUGGAUUUGAAGAGGGAGAAAGCCAUGGAGGAUAAAGGUUUCUGUGCUGUGCCACAGGGGGAUUUCAGUGCAGAAGGAAAAUCCCUGGGGCUGGAGGGCGAUGGAGCCUCACUGGCCAGGGACAAACCCAUUAUAUUGCCCCUGCUGAGAGCCUUGAAUACUCCAGAAUUCACGGUAAACUCUCCGAAAUAAAUUGCUUUUUAUCCCAGAAAUUCAAAUUCAUGCAUUCAGCACCUUCCUUCCCCCAAAACAAUCCUGAUUAUUGUGUGGCAGAACAACCCAACAACAC